GCUCCCAUAGCUCAGUUGGUUAGAGCAUCUGACUCAUAAUCAGAGGGUCACAGGUUCGAGCCCUGUUGGGAGCA
rnacentral:tRNA from 4 species